rnacentral:tRNA from 1 species
CGGGACGUAGCGUAGCUUGGUAGGCGCUUGUUUGGGGUGCAAGAGGUCGUGAGUUCAAAUCUCCCCGCCCCGACCU